CCUGAAUAAAGAUAUAGCAGACAAAACCAGGUAUGCCAACCUGACCAAAGUCAGGCUAACAGAGGUUUGUGGGUAAUCCCUGAGUGGAAAACACUGAGAAGCAGCAGCAUGUCUCACAAGCGCUGGGAAAAAGUGAGAUAAGAGAGAAGCUGCAUUCCUGGCAUAGUACCAGAUGUGCUGUGUUCGGGCAGCUCCUUCGAAGAACUGAUAAGAGUCCUAGUUUCCCAGCCUCCUUGUUUUCGCUCCCUGGUUUUCCUCCCUGGUUUUGUUCUUUGUUUGUUUUUAACUCCCCUACAUUUCUAACUUUAGGCAUGCAUGUAUACUAAAGGUGUCUAGUUUCUAGUUGUUAGAAGAAGGGGGUGGGUUGCUCCAGUGAAUAAUUUAUGACGCGACGGAACUGUCUACAUAGGCUUAUACUAAGAUGUAAAGAGCAGGCUGGUUCUCUCUGGAGACGAGCUGCUCUCUAUUGAUGCGUGCACUUGUCAAUAAAGAGCUUUUGAUCGGA